rnacentral:rRNA from 1 species
UACCCUAUUAUUUUAAUUGUAAAUUUUAAUUUUGUUAGUAAUAGUUUAAGAUCUAGAAAACUAAAGAAUUUGGCGGUAUUUUAAACUUUUCAGAGGAACCUGUUUUAUAAAUGAUAAUCCACGAUUUAGAUAUUCUUAUUUAUUAGUUUAUAUAUCGUCGUAGUUUGAUUAUUUUUUUAGAAUUUUAAUAUUCAAAAAUUAUUUAAAUAAAAAAAUUCAGAUCAAGGUAUAGUUUAUAAUAAGAUAGUAAUGGGUUACAUUUUUAUUAAAAUAAGAUUUAAAAUUGAAAAUUUUAAUGAAUUUGGAUUUGAUAGUAAUUUAAAGAAAAAAUUUUUAAAUGACUAUGGCUCUAAAAUAUGUACAUAUC